rnacentral:sRNA from 1 species
CCCGGGGCUUGCGCCCCGGGCUAUGUACGGUCGCCCCUUCGGGGCU